GAGGCAGCCGUCAUGGUCAUUCCUGCUAAGAAAAAGCUUUGGCGGUUCUGGGUUUCCGAUUUCGUUUUAAACCUCCCUUUUCCCUUUUACUACGCAAUUCUCUCAUCUUCCAGUAUGUUUUUGUAACCUUUAUGAAGAGAUCACCGUGAUGACCCCAUAAAAUUCAAGCUCAACAGACCGGAAUGCAGGGUUCUCUCUAUAUUGAGAUGAUACUUUGCGUGUCGACCACCCCGCUGACCUGAGUGAUCUCUUCCUUCCUCGUUAUUCUUCUUUUAUAUUCUUUCCCGAUGUUUUUUUCUGUGUGAUUUUAAAUUAAUCGACUUUUUCUUUCAUAUUUUGGGGAAAGAGAAUCCACGAAACGGAUACAUAAGCUCCCUCUUCUGAUAUUUCAAAUUGAGGAAGACUGCCGGCAGAAUCGAACCUUAUACUCCAUAGCCACCACUGAGUGGUCUCUUUCCCCCUCUAUAUCAUCGAUCCCUCCACUCGCUUCACACUUAUUUAAACCAAAUCGUUGGAGCAGGGGCAGCCGGAUUGACUCUGCAUAUACAGGUACCCGAACCUGUUUUUGUGUUCACGGUGACAAAUGCUGGAUGAGUCAAUAAGAUGGAUGAGCCCGUCCCGCGUGCAGAUCUGGAGUCCCCCGACCUCCGUAGACCGCAGGAUCGUCAGUAUCUGAGGGUCUGAAUGCUCCCCGAACCCCAUGGAUGGGUCCCGCUUGGCGCUGCUCUUGGAUGGAGGGUAGUGAUUGAUCCUCAGCACCGAGUGGCUCUGAGCGUCCCUGAUCAGCUCUCGAUUUAAUAUAAUAAUCCUCCAGUUAUUGAUGUCUUUCUGACUUUUGGUUAUGAAUCUAGUAUGUUCCUUGAGCAGCAUGAUUAUGUGCUCACUUGGCGUUUUGCCCAAAGCAGAAAUAUUUAUACAUAUAUGUAUAUUCCAAGUGAACCCCCGUGUUUGCCACUUGUCCUAGUGUCCCAUUUAAUGAAUUCUGGACUGGUGGUGGCUGGCU